GAAAUACUCCCUCCGUCCAGAAAUACUCGUUAUCAAAAUGGAUAAAAAAAGAUGUAGCCAGAACUAAAAUAUAUCUAGAUACAUCCACUUUUAUUCAUUUUGAUGACAAGUAUUUCCGGAUGAAGGGAGUAUAUG
rfam:Triticum aestivum genome assembly, contig: Triticum_aestivum_CS42_TGACv1_scaffold_329337_4BS